CGAAGGGUGCAAGCGUUUACUCGGAAUUACUGGGCGUAAAGCGUGCGUAGGUGGUGAGUUAAGUCUGUCGUGAAAGCCCCGGGCUCAACCUGGGAAUGGCGAUGGAUACUGGCUCGCUAGAGUGCGGUAGAGGAGAGUGGAAUUCCCGGUGUAGCAGUGAAAUGCGUAGAGAUCGGGAGGAACAUCAGUUGCGAAGGCGGCUCUCUGGACCAGCACUGACACUGGGGCACGAAAGCGUGGGGAGCAAACAGGAUUAGAUACCCUGGUAGUCCACGCCCUAAACGAUGCGAACUGGACGUUGGGAGCAACUAGGCUCUCAGUGUCGAAGCUAACGCGUUAAGUUCGCCGCCUGGGGAGUACGGUCGCAAGACUG
rnacentral:rRNA from 1 species